CCUACGGGCGGCUGCAGUGGGGAAUAUUGGACAAUGGGGGGAACCCUGAUCCAGCCAUGCCGCGUGUGUGAAGAAGGCCUUCGGGUUGUAAAGCACUUUAAUUUGGGAGGAAGGGCUUACGGUUAAUAACCGCUAAGUUUUGACGUUACCAAAAGAAUAAGCACCGGCUAACUUCGUGCCAGCAGCCGCGGUAAUACGAAGGGUGCGAGCGUUAAUCGGAAUUACUGGGCGUAAAGCGCGCGUAGGUGGUUCAUUAAGUUAGGAGUGAAAGCCCCGGGCUCAACCUGGGAAUUGCUUCUAAAACUGGUGAGCUAGAGUACGGUAGAGGGUGGUGGAAUUUCCUGUGUAGCGGUGAAAUGCGUAGAUAUAGGAAGGAACAUCAGUGGCGAAGGCGACCACCUGGACUGAUACUGACACUGAGGUGCGAAAGCGUGGGGAGCAAACAGGAUUAGAUACCCCAGUAGUC
rnacentral:rRNA from 1 species